rnacentral:rRNA from 1 species
GACAGCAGUAGCCGCGGGAAUACAGAGGGUGCGAGCGUUAAUCGGUUUUACUGGGCGUAAAGCGUGCGUAGGCGGCUAAUUGAGUCGGAUGUGAAAUCCCCGAGCUUAACUUGGGAAUUGCAUUCGAUACUGGUUAGCUAGAGUGUGGGAGAGGAUGGUAGAAUUCCAGGUGUAGCGGUGAAAUGCGUAGAGAUCUGGAGGAAUACCGAUGGCGAAGGCAGCCAUCUGGCCUAACACUGACGCUGAGGUACGAAAGCAUGGGGAGCAAACAGGAUUAGAUACCCCCGUAGUCCUGUCUCUUAUACA